AGUGACGUAGUUUAGUUGGUUAAAAUUCCGGCCUGUCACGUCGGAGAGCGCGGGUUCGAGCCCCGUCGUCACUGCCA
rnacentral:tRNA from 2 species